rnacentral:rRNA from 1 species
ACUGAACACUGGCGGCAGGCUUAACACAGUGCCAGUCGAACGGUAACAGGAGAAAUGCUUGCUUUCUUGCUGACGAGAGCCGCACAGAAGAGUAAUGCUUGCUGAUCUGGCUUGUGGAGGGGGAUAACGACGGGAAACUGACGCUAAUACCGCGUAGAGUCGAGAGACCAAUGUGCGGGACCGGAGGGCCUCAUGCCAUACCAUGAGCCCCAGCGGGAUUAUGUAGAUGGGGGGGUAAUGGCCUACCAAGCCGACAAUCUCUUGCUGGUCUGAGAGGAUGACCAGCCACACCGGGACUGAGACACGGCCCGGACUCCUACGGGAGGUACCAGUGGGGAAUAUCGCCCAAUGGGGGCAACCCUGACACAGCCAUGCCGCGUGAUUGAAUAAAGCCUUCGCGUUGCAAAGCUCUUUCGGUAUUGAGGAAAGUUGUUGUGUUAAUAGCACGACAAAUUGACGCUAAAUACAGACGAAGCACCGGCUACUUCCGCGCCCACCACCGCGGUAAUACUGAGGGGGCCAGCGCUAUUCGGAAUAACCUGGGCGUAAAGGGCACGCGGGCGGACUUUUAAGCGAGGAGUGAAAUCCCCGGGCUUAACCCGGGAAUUACAUUUCAGCCAGGGAGUUUAUGCGUACUUUAGGGGAGGGGAAGAUUUCCAACUGUAGCGGUGAAGUGCGUUGCGAUGUGGAGGAAUACCGACGGCGAAGACAACGCCCUUGGGAAUGUACUGCCGAUCAUGUGAGAAAGCGUGGGGAGCACACAGGAUUAGAUACCCUGGUAGUCCACGCUGAAAACGCUGUGGAUUUGGGGGAUUGGGCCCUGAGCCGGGUGCCCCAAAUCUUACGUGAUACAUCGACCGCCGGGGAGGGACGGCCGCAAGGUUAAAACUCAAAUGAAUUGACGGGGGGCCCGCACAAGCGGUGGAGCAUGUGGUUUAAUUGGAUGCAACGCGAAGAGCCUUCCCUACUCUUGCCAUCCUCGGUUCCUUGUAGAGAUAUGAGAGUGCCUUCGGGAACCACGAGACAGGCACUGCAUGGCUGUCGUCAGCUGGUGUUGUGAAAUGUUGGGUUAAGUCCCGCAACGAGCGCAACCCUUAUCCUUUGUUGCCAGCGACUCGGUCGGGAACUCAAAGGAGACUCCCGGUGAUAAACCGGAGGAAGGUGGGGAUGACGUCACGUCAUCACGGCCCUUACGAGUAGGGCUACACACGCGCUACAAUGGCGUAUACAGAGGGCGUCGCAGCCGCGAGGCGGCGUGGAUCUCACAAAGUACCUCUAAGUCCGGAUUGGAGUCUGCCACUCCACUCCACGAAGUUGGAAUCCCUCGUAAUCGCGAAUCAGAACGAAGCGGUGACUCCGUUUCCGGGCCU